rnacentral:SRP_RNA from 1 species
GCUGGGCACACUGGCGCAUGCCUGUAGUCCCAGCUACUCAGGAGGCUGAGGCUGGAGGAUCUCUUGAGCCAGGAGUUCUGGGCUGUAGUGUGCUAUGCUGAUCGGGUGUCCGCACUAAGUUUGGCAUCAAUAUGGUGACCUCCUGGGAGCGGAGGACCACCAGGUUGCCUAAGGAGAGGUGAACUGGCCCAGGUCGGAAAGAGAGCAGGUCAAAACUCCCUUGCUGAUCAGUAGUGGGAUCGUGCCUGUGAAUAGCCACUGCAUUCCAGCCUGGGCAACAUAGCAAGACCCCAUCUCU